UACGGGGGGGGCAAGCGUUGUUCGGAAUUACUGGGCGUAAAGGGCUCGUAGGCGGCCAACUAAGUCGGAUGUGAAAUCCCCAGGCUUAACCUGGGAACUGCAUCCGAUACUGGAUGGCUUGAAUCCGGGAGAGGGAUGCGGAAUUCCAGGUGUAGCGGUGAAAUGCGUAGAGAUGUGGAGGAACACCGAUGGCGAAGGCAGCCUCCUGGGCCAGCACUGACGCUCAUGCACGAAAGCGUGGGGAGCAAACAGG
rnacentral:rRNA from 1 species